UACGGGGGGGGGCAAGCGUUUGUUCGGAAUUACUGGGCGUAAAGGGCGCGUAGGCGGUUGGAUAAGUCAGCUGUGAAAACCACGAGCUUAACUCGUGGCCUGCAGUUGAGACUGUCUGGCUUGAGUGUGGGAGAGGAGAGUGGAAUUCCUGGUGUAGCGGUGAAAUGCGUAGAUAUCAGGAGGAACACCGGUGGCGAAGGCGGCUCUCUGGACCACAACUGACGCUGAGGCGCGAAAGCUAGGGGAGCAAACAGG
rnacentral:rRNA from 1 species